ensembl:lncRNA
CAGCCGGGCGGUUCCCGCGAGUCUGCGAGGAGGAGGCAGCGUGCGAGCCGAGCCGGGCGCGCAAGGAGGCGGCGCGCGAGGUAAGCGGACGCGCGGGGAGCCGGCGGCGCGCGCCGAAUGAGGCCGGGCGCGCGCGGGGGGACCCGGCACGAAGAGGAAGGAGCGCGGUGGGGAGUUGGGAGCGCGGGGCUCCCCCGGGACCCCCCGCAGCUCCGACGGGGUUUCAGUUGACUCGGACUGCACCGCAGCGAGAGUCCGUUAGGAGUCUCCGCCUGGGCGCGCAGCUGGCCGACCAUCCCGGCCCGCCUCCCCCUCGCUCCCACCAGGAAGGGCAGCCGGGCGAGAGCCAGUGACCUCUCCUCCCGCCAGAGCCCGACGGGCGCCCGGCGGUGCUGCGAGCUCUUCCCACCCCUUCCCUGCCCCGCCCACCCCUUCGCCUUCCUGAUUGGCGAGAAACCUACAACAGGAACAGGAGUCCCAGCCUUCCAGUGGCUGGACCAGACGCCCUUCAGACUCACCCCGCCUCCGUCCCGCCCCCUCCCCCUGGUUGGCACAACCUCUAAUCACUCUCUAUCGUCUCCCCUAACGUUGCUUUGGAGAACUGGCACUCAAAGCUCACCCUCCCGCCUCCGGAAAGCGAACUUUAUUUUUAUUGGCGAAAGCACACCUUCCUGUGCACCUGAUUGGGCAAGGAGGAGGCUAAUCGGCACGCCUCUUACCUAUUAUCACUCUCCCUUUACGGAUUUAAGAAAACCGCAAAGUCUUUCCUACUUUGCCUUCCAAGCGCCUUUCUCUUUAAAUGUUGCUAAAAGUAGAAGACAAUUUCGCAGCCUGUAUUAAGGGAAGCGGAAAAGAAGAAAGAGAAAGAUUAAAAAUGCUCUCCAGAUGGGUAGUACAUCGGAGCUGGGUCUGGCAUCCUGCGGAUCCUAAUCCUGUGGUCUGGUGCAUGGAGUGGUUACGUUGAGCUAAAGCACCUGAAAUUCUAAUAUUGACUCCUGAGAUCUACUCACAAGCUUUCACUCACCGUUCUCUCCAUUCACACCCUUAGUUUCUUUGGCAUUUCUCCACCCAGAAGAGCUUUAAUAAAGGCGUCUGCGAACCUGAAGCUUCCCUUGUUUAUCUCGCGGUCGUUCAUUUAGAAAAGCAUCUAAGCCUUUCCAUUAAAAGUUCCGUUUAGUCACGUCCUUUGCGUCUCUCUGGCGUUUGCACAAGAGGAAUAAGGACACCCCAAGAUUAACCCAAGCAGGCACCAGAAAGCUAUUCUUUUCACUUCUCAGGAACAAACACGGCUCCCCCGAGGAAGACAAACCGUGGCCCUGUGCAUCAGAAAGAGAUUACAGUUGA